CCCAGACUCCUACGGGAGGCAGCAGUGGGGGAUAUUGGUCAAUGGGGGAAACCCUGAACCAGCGAUGCCGCGUGAGGGAAGAAGGUUUUCGGAUUGUAAACCUCUGUCAUCGGGGAAGAUAAUGACGGUACCCGAGAAGGAAGCCACGGCUAACUACGUGCCAGCAGCCGCGGUAAUACGUAGGUGGCGAGCGUUGUCCGGAAUUACUGGGUGUAAAGGGAGUGUAGGCGGGACUUCAAGUCAGGUGUGAAAUCUAUGGGCUCAACCCAUAGCGUGCACUUGAAACUGUAGUUCUUGAGUGAAGUAGAGGCAAGCGGAAUUCCUAGUGUAGCGGUAAAAUGCGUAGAUAUUAGGAGGAACACCAGUGGCGAAGGCGGCUUGCUGGGCUUUUACUGACGCUGAGGCUCGAAAGCGUGGGGAGCAAACAGGAUUAGAUACCCUGGUAGUCCACGCCGUAAACGAUGAUUACUAGGUGUGGGGGAGUUGACCUCUUCC
rnacentral:rRNA from 1 species